rnacentral:tRNA from 1 species
GCCCGCUUAGCUCAGACGUUAGAGCAUCACAUUUGUAAUGCGAUGGUCAUCGGUUCGAUUUCAAUAGCCGGCU